UACAGAGGUGGCAAGCGUUGUUCGGAAUUACUGGGCGUAAAGGGCGCGUAGGCGGCCUUCUAAGUCAGACGUGAAAUCCCCCGGCUUAACCUGGGAACUGCGUCUGAUACUGGGAGGCUAGAGUAUGGGAGAGGGAUGUAGAAUUCCAGGUGUAGCGGUGAAAUGCGUAGAUAUCUGGAGGAAUACCGGUGGCGAAGGCGGCAUCCUGGACCAUUACUGACGCUGAGGCUCGAAAGCGUGGGGAGCAAACAGG
rnacentral:rRNA from 1 species